ACGAACGUGAGCGGCGUGCCUAACACAUGCUAAGUCGAGCGAUGAUGGCUUCGCCCUAGCAGCAGAGCGGCGGACGGGUGAGUAACACGUAGGUAGAUCUUACCUCAUGAGCAGGGGAACAACUAGCGAAAGCCGGCGCUAAUACCCAGAAGGUUCGAUAGACUCAGUUGCUUCCGAGGGAAGCUAGUAGCAAUAUGCCGGCACUCGAGAGGAGUCCUGCGUCGCAUCAGCUAGUUGGUGGGGUAACGGCCUACCAAGGCGAAGACGCGGUAGGCUGGUCUGAGAGGAUGAUCAGCCACACUGAAACUGAAGACACGGUUCAGACGCCUACGGGAGGUAGCAGUGGAGGAAUAUUGCACAAUGGGCGCAAGCCUGAUGCCAGCCACGCCGCGUGAAGUGAUGACGGCCUUCGGGUCGUAAAGCUCUGUGGGGAGGGACGACCGCCAGCCGGUUAUACCCGUGGCAUACGGUACCUCUAGCAGCACCGGCUAACUUACGUGCCAGCAGCCGCGGUAAUAACGUAGGUGGCGAAGCGUUGCUCGGAAUUAUUGGGCGUAAAGCGCACUGUAGGCGGCGUCAUAAGUCGGAAGUGAAAUCCUCGGCUAACCUAGGAGAGUGCUUUCAAUACUGCUGAGGCUGGAGGUACUUAGAGGAUCGUCGAAUUCCCGGUGUAGAGGUGAAAUUCGUAGAUAUCAGGAGGAACACCAGUGGCGAAGGCGGCUAUCUGGGAAGAUACUGACGCUGAGGUAGCGAAAGCGUAGGGGAGCAAACAGGGAUUAGAUACCCUGGUAGUCCUACGCCGUAAACGAUGGAGUGCUAGGUGCUGUAGGGUAUCUGACCCCCUGCGUGUGCCGCAGCUAACGCGUUAAGCACUCCGCCUGGGGAAGUACGGCCGCAAGGCUAAAACUCAAAGGAAUUGACGGGGGCCCGCACAAGCGGUGGAGCAUGUGGUUCAAUUCGACUGCUACACGCAGAACCUACCCUGGUUUGACAUGCCGGAUUCAAAGCUGCCAGAGAAGUGGACGGGUGCCCUUCAGGGAUGAAUGAGAAGGUGCUUGCAUGGCUGUCGUCAGCUCGUGUCGUGAGAUGUUGGGUUUAAGUCCCCUAACGAGCGCAACCUCUUCGUUUGCCAGCCUUACAGUGUGCCUCUAGCGAGACUGCCGGCGUCAAGUAGGAGGAAGGGGGAGAUGACGUCAAGUCAGCAUGGCCUUAUAUCCUGGGGCUACACACUGCUACAAUGGGCCGUAACAAUGGGAUCGCCAAACCGUGAGGUGGAGCCAAUCCCAAAAAACGGUCCUCAGUUCAGAUUGCAGGUCUGCAACCUCGACCUGCAUGAAGCUGGAAGUCGCUAGUAACGCGCAGAUCAGCAUAGCUGCGUUGAAUACGUUCCCGGGCCUUGUACACACCGCCCGUCACACCAUGGGAGUCAGUUGCAACUACCUGAAGCCAGGUAGCGCCAACCGCAGUGAGGUAGCGCGCCUAAAGAGUGGGACUGGUGACUGGAGUG
rnacentral:rRNA from 1 species